rnacentral:rRNA from 1 species
AGACGGUCCAAACGUUAUUCGGAAUCACUGGGCUUAAAGAGUUCGUAGGCGGUCAGGAAAGUGGGGUGUGAAAGCCCUCGGCUUAACCGAGGAAUUGCGCUCCAAACUCCCUGACUUGAGGAGGCUAGAGGUAAGCGGAACUGAUGGUGGAGCGGUGAAAUGCGUUGAUAUCAUCAGGAACACCGGAGGCGAAGGCGGCUUACUGGGGCCUUUCUGACGCUGAGGAACGAAAGCUAGGGGAGCGAACGGGAUUAGAUACCCCGGUAGUCCUAGCCGUAAACGGUGAGCACUGGGCCGGAGUUCUGCAUAGGAUUUCGGCCGUAGCGAAAGUGUUAAGUGCUCCGCCUGGGGAGUAUGGUCGCAAGGCUG